rnacentral:rRNA from 1 species
AGUUGGUGGAGUGAUUUGUCUGGUUAAUUCCGUUAACGAACGAGACCUUAACCUGCUGAAUAUCUACACAUUGUCACGGCAAUGCUGUCGGAUUCUUAGAGGAACAUUGCGUAGCCAACGCAAGGAAGUCUGAGGCAAUAACAGGU